AGCGAACGCUGGCGGCAGGCUUAACACAUGCAAGUCGAGCGGGUAUAGCAAUAUGUCAGCGGCAGACGGGUGAGUAACGCGUGGGAACGUACCUUUUGGUUCGGAACAACUGAGGGAAACUUCAGCUAAUACCGGAUAAGCCCUUACGGGGAAAGAUUUAUCGCCGAAAGAUCGGCCCGCGUCUGAUUAGCUAGUUGGUGAGGUAAUGGCUCACCAAGGCGACGAUCAGUAGCUGGUCUGAGAGGAUGAUCAGCCACAUUGGGACUGAGACACGGCCCAAACUCCUACGGGAGGCAGCAGUGGGGAAUAUUGGACAAUGGGCGCAAGCCUGAUCCAGCCAUGCCGCGUGAGUGAUGAAGGCCCUAGGGUUGUAAAGCUCUUUUGUGCGGGAAGAUAAUGACGGUACCGCAAGAAUAAGCCCCGGCUAACUUCGUG
rnacentral:rRNA from 1 species